UACAGAGGUCUCAACCGUUGUUCGGAUUCAUUGGGCGUAAAGGGUGCGUAGGCGGCGGGGCAAGUCAGGUGUGAAAUCUCGGGGCUCAACCCCGAAACUGCACUUGAUACUGCCUUGCUCGAGUACUGGAGAGGAGACUGGAAUUUACGGUGUAGCGGUGAAAUGCGUAGAUAUCGUAAGGAAGACCAGUGGCGAAGGCGGGUCUCUGGACAGUUCCUGACGCUGAGGCACGAAGGCCAGGGGAGCAAACGGG
rnacentral:rRNA from 1 species